ACCAGGGCAGAGAGAUGUGGGAGACAGAGGCAAGGGAAAAAUUUCAGAGGUGGGAAGAAAGAAUAAAGAAUAGUUCCCUGCAGAGAGAGAGGGCAAUCAGGGUAGGAUAUGAUCUGAGAGAGAGUUUCAUCUGCCUUCACUGUACUUGAGGCAGACAGAGGCACCAUGAGGACAGGGUUCUGCCUUCUGGGAGCUCACGGCCCCAUGAAGGAGGCAGGCACACUCACAAGAAACUAGGCUGCCAGGCUGAGUGAAAGGAAUUUGCCAAUAAAGCUGCAAAAUCAGGUCACUGGAUGCCAGAGGAGGGGGUUGAAAGGACAGCCAUGAUGGAAUUUAUCUUGAAAGCUGCCUCUGCUUCCUCUGUGGGAUGUGAAUUGAGCGCACGCAUGACUGAAGGCAGGAAACCAGGAGACUGUGGUGGUCUUGCAGGGGACAGAUGACCCGGCCGUGUCAGGAAGCAGAGCGGCACGCUGAAGCAGUCAUCCAGGGAAGGACCCAGGAGUCUCAGCAAUUGACCCUGCGGCUUAGGCGCAGAGGAGGAAAUGGACAGGAAACUGAGGUUUGGCUGGCCCCACACAAAGGACAGGCCACGGCCUCCACCCCGAAUUCCAAAGGCAUGGACAGAGAAGUAUAUGCUGCAGACAUGAUAGUGCAGCCAGCAGAGGUCUGCGCCUGGGGCUGAGAGGUUUGGGCAGCCCCCGCGUGGGGGUGUAAGGAGUCUCCUGGGAGAGACUUCUUCCCCCUGAGGGGCAACAAAGCCAGGUUCUGACCACUGGUCCUUCAACUAAAAGAGCGGGAAGCUACCUAGAGGAUCCCCACAGGGCAGCAGCCAAGCUCAGCAAGAGAGGGGUUGUUUGUGAGGACAUCUGAGAUGCUCAUGUCCAGGAGGAGGAGAUGCUCAUGUCCAGGUGCUUGGCUCAGCUUUCGCCCCCCAGCCGGUGCUGCCUGGGGGCUGCUCAGUCAAUACCUGUGACCACAAACCGCCCUUCACACACCAGUCAUACCCCUGAGCAAUACCCACCCCAUCCAGGGCUCCUUCCAGACGGGGAACACUUGCCCACAGAGCACAUCACUUCACGCACACAACCUCGUGGAAGGGGUGCUUUGAUACCGGUUUUGUGAGCGAGAAAAGAGCAGAUCGGAGAAGUUGAGUGAUUUUUUUUUUUUUUUCCCCUAAGAUCGCCCAGCUUGUGUGUGAUGGAAUCCGAUCGCAACACAUCCUUUUGUCUUUUGACAUCCAGCUGAUGUUCCAUGGUUGUUCGCUUCCCUGGGCCUAUCUGGCAAGUGGCAACCCACCCCCUGGUCAAGGUCACCUCCUAGUUGUCUCCUGCCUGCUGGAACAUAGCUGGGGGCAGCUGAGGAAAGCCUCCCCACCCUGAUGAUGGAGCUUAUGAUCUUUAACCUCAAGUAGGCAUGGCUGGGGGUGCUGUCUAGCCCACUCUUCUGAAUGACUAUUUCAUACCUUCUUCUUCUCUGACCUCACACCUUCUGGGAGCAGCCAAGGCCUUGGCGUGCUCCCUGGUUGACAGUGGGAGACUGAGGCAGGGGCUGUGCUCCAGAACCGUGGCUCCCUCCCACCCUGAGUAAGCGAAGGGCUGGGCCUUUACCUGCACUGCCCCCUCCUCUGCCCUGUCCACAGAGAUCCACAAAACAAGCAGAUUCCCCACGGUUUGGCAAUAGCUACUAUUGACCCCAAUUAACAUUUAAUAUGCUCUCGGGAGAGAAGGUGUUUUUGAAUAGAGGUUCCGUUAAUACUGCAUUUUUCUCCGAAUGUUCAGGGAUGUGGGAACCAUGACGGAACCAGUCUGUCUGUGUCCUCACAGGGGAGAAAAUCUGGAACUGUAUAGGCAGGCUCUCGCCUGGCUGCGUCUCACCUGGGAGGGCUGAGCUGACACGUGGAGAGAUUCACUGAAACCCCAGCAUCUCCCAGAACACACUGGGCCUCACGUACCACCUCUGCCUGAAGAGCACCAGGAACCAAGGAGAAAUGUGUCUUUGGGGCAAGAUAACCUCUCAGAGCCUCAGGGCUCUGGCCCAACUCUGUCACAGGUCACAGAGCAGAGAGAGUCUGAUUAGGCUCUGGUCUGCCCCUGCCCCAGGGCCACAGUGUCUUUGGUUCACAAGCCUCUUUGAGCCAGUAAUUACUUAGGGAGCUUUAAGAAACAUAUUGCAAAAAAUUAUUUAAAAGCAUUCCGUUUCUAAUCCUAAUUCUAGCUUUGUAACUGUCUAAAUGGCUGCUGGAAACAGGCAUUUCCUUCUUGGGCUGGAAGUUGAGGUGACCUUCUUUAGUGGCCAAUCCUGUCUUCUAAAACCACAAAUCUCAGAGUUGACUCUGGCAGGUUGCGUGUCUACAGACACCUGGCCAUGCAGAUGAUAUGACUCCCAAAGAGGAGUCCCUUAUGGGUAAGACACAACAGCAAUCACAACUGAAGAAGUGGCAGAAGUCCAUAAAGUCCCCUCAGUGGAGGAGUCAGUUCAAAUGGCUGGAGUUGGCAUUCUUCUAACAGGGAGACUAGGCUGGGGGUUUUGCUGGAAGUGGACCUGUCAGAUUUCCUGGCUCCCCAUAGGCUCGGUGGCCCUAGGCCACACAGGCGGGUGGGCAGGAAGGUUCUAGUGCAGGAGCUGGUAGGCCUGGGUGGGGGUGGGUAGAGAGGCAGAGAUGUGCAGAAGGACUAUGCCCUGAAUUGUGUUUCUGAGAGCUAGGAAAUAGUACCCAGGUUAGAGUGGGCACCCUCUGCAGAGUCAUUGUUGAAGGUGCCAGGAAGAAAGGCCUAGAAGGAGCAGGGGGAGAGCCACGCCUUGGCACCAAGACUUCCCUGUUAGGUCCCAGGCCCUGGCAGCUUGACCUCCUGUCCUGUUCCUGUGAGCCUGAUUUCCUGCCUCUUAGUUUCGGUCUCUUAGUUCUAGUCUUGGGGGGAUCCUUGCACUUGCCCGUGGCCACUCCUCAUCACUCCGUUCCCGGAAGCCUCUCUCUCGGGCUUCCCCAGCACCACCCCCAGGCUGCUUCCCCAGAGCUCCAGAGCUCUCUGGAUGCUGUAAGCACUGUGCAGGAGGAGGGGGGUGGGGAGCACCCCCUGCAGACUCCCGGCCCCCUCCCACAAAGCAUCAUUCUGGCCGCCUGGCCUGGAGUUUCCAUAAUGAUGGUAACGAAUUUAAGAUUCCAAGCCGAAAUUCCACUCUUUCAAGUGGUUCAAAUAUGGCAAUGAUGGGGAAGAGGAAUGUGGGAACGGAGUCUCAAGGUGAAUGGGGUGGGCGUAGGGGUGGCAGGAAGGCCUGAGGUCCAUUUUCUCUCUGAAAUUUCUUCUAUACCCUUUCGUUGCUCCCCAUACCUCCAAUGCCCCACCUUCCCUCCCUCUCAGCUGCUACACUGCUUCCCAUUUAAGCCAGAAAACAGAGAACUACCCCGAUUUUAUCAGUAGCCAGCAAUUCCACUUAAACACUGGACCCUACCCUACUUCCUAGUCAAGGACAUCCCUCCUGGAAUUGGCCUCCAUCCACCUGCACCAUUAGUUGUUCCCUCUGUGGGGGAUCAUUUUCAAGCAAAUAAAAUCAUGCUGGGAGAGUCAACAUUUCAAAAUCUACUCUAUUGAGGUAUUAUAAUUUGGAGAUAAAAUGCACCCACUGUUAAGUGUGAAGUGAGGUGAAUUUUGGCAAAUAUAUAUACCUGUGUAACCACCGCCACCACCGUCAAGUUCUAGAAGAUUGCUAUCAGCACGCCCCAAAAAGUAUCCCCUUGCUGAGCACUAUUCCCUUGUAUGGACACAGUACAAUUUGUUCAUGUGUUAGCCUGUUGAUGUGCAAUUGGGCUGUUUCCACUUUUUGGCUAUUAUGAAUAAAAAGUGCAGUGAACA